rnacentral:rRNA from 1 species
UACGUAGGGGGCGAGCGUUGUCCGGAUUUAUUGGGCGUAAAGAGCGUGUAGGCGGCCAGGUAGGUCUGCUGUGAAAACUCGAGGCUCAACCUCGAGACGUCGGCGGAAACCAUCUGGCUAGAGUCCGGAAGAGGAGAGUGGAAUUCCUGGUGUAGCGGUGAAAUGCGCAGAUAUCAGGAGGAACACCGAUGGCGAAGGCAGAUCUCUGGGCCGUAACUGACGCUGAGGAGCGAAAGCGUGGGGAGCGAACAGG